ACCUUUUCUAGGAGCUCCUGUAUCGACUUUUAAUAUUAAAAAAAGAAGAUAAAUACAAUCAUAAAUACUAAUAUUAAAUUUUCAUAUUAAUAGCUUAACCACAUUGAAAGCAUAAAAAUGUAAAAUAAGCGCAACGAGAUGAGGAGUGCUUCAACCUCUUACCUUCCUUGAGAUUUUUUUCUCAUUAACCAAGUUUUCUCACACUGCUAAGCCAAAACCCUAGGUCGUGGGUGAUGAGAAAGGAUAAGAAGAAUGACUCAAAUAGAGUCUCUUUAAGGUGGGUUCAAAACAACUAAAUUUAAUAGAGAUCUUUUAGUGAAAAGUGGAGGAAAAUAGCAGAGGAAAAAAAAGUUUUCUCUCUUGCAAUGGUGGUGGCUGACGCAAUACAGACAGAAAGG
rnacentral:lncRNA from 1 species